rnacentral:lncRNA from 1 species
UCUAUUUCUUAAAGUUUAAAUUUAAUGGAAUCUUCUGGAUGAAAAAAGUUCAAGUUAAUUAUAUCAUCACUAUGUUCUUUUGUUUUCUUUUUCUUUUUUUCUUUUUUUUUUCGUGUAAGAAUUGUUAAAAGACAACAUAAACUUACUUGGGCAAUGGGAGUGAAGAUGCUUCGACGUGGACGUUUGUUACGAAAAUACAUAGUACCGGAGACUAAGCUAAUGAGGCCCAUAGUCAUUGCUGCAGCAGAGACUCCGAACCCAACGUCCAUUCCCGAAUGAGUUUGAACCCAAACAAGGAGAGUUAGAGCGAUAAGCUCGCCCAUUGAGAAUGCGAAAUAGGCGGCAUUGAAGUAAGAUGAGAGUCUUUUAGAUUGUUUAGGAUGCGACUGAGAGAACUGGUCCGCACCGUGAGCUAUCAUGUUUGGUUUCACGCAGCCACUUCCUAACGCCACCAAGUAGAGUGCCAUGAAGAAGAUCAUUGCCUUGAAACCUUUGGCUUCUUCACAUGCUUGGUCUAUCAAUGGGUUACACUUUGGUGGCUUUAGUUGGGGUAAAUGUGCUUGUACUGAUAAUAGUAUGAAACCCUGGGAAUACACGUGGCAAUCCGAGUUAAAGGACAUAAAAACUUAUAGAAAGUUUCGGAAUGUGAAACAAUGAUCUAAAACAUUAAUUGGUGAUGUUUCAGUGGAGUGUUUGUAGCGAAGGUAUUUUUGUAAAUAGUUAAUUAAAUCAUAAUGAGAUCACACACAAAAGGCAUGUUGCCUGGACAUACUCCACGUAAAUUAAUUACGUGUAUGCAAAUUAUAUAUAAAAAACAGAUUUUGUUAGAAAUCUCAUAUCGAAAGUGUUUUAUAUAUAUUUUCGUUUUAAAUUGGAAGCCAAGAAACUUAGAGAAUUGUAUAUACAGAUAUGUCAAAAACUGGAAAGAGAUGAUGAACAUACAGAAAGCUCGACGAAGCCGAAGAUGAUGAUGGUCCAGAAGCUGCCUAAAAAGGCAUCCGAGAGGUAGCCGCCGAGGAGGGCGAAGAUAAAGAUGGUACCGACAAAGUUGGUAACAAUAUUGG